UUUCAGAGAAAAAUGGAGGUGAAAUCAUCCUCAUUAAAACCAUCAAUAUAUGUGGAACAAGAAGCGACAUAUGUUAAUGGUUUUAAUGAGGAUGAUGAUGAUAAGAAGCCACUUUUCGCUU
rnacentral:precursor_RNA from 12 species